GAACCGGACAACACAGCCAAGACCUCGAGUCCAUCUAACCGAGUAAGCUAGUUAUGAAGAAGUUAAGGAGAAAACAACCUUCGAUAGUGAAGAAAUUGAGAAAGUAAGAGAUUUGUUAGGGUCUCUUAAUAAACCCUCCGGUGCAUGCUCACUAGCACUCUUAGGAUCGGGGCUCGGAGAAAAGGAUUGAACUUACUAAGGAACAAAGUGGGUUGUACUACCUUGAAACACCACUCACUGCAAGAAGAAUCAUGAUAAAUCUAUCUUCAUCGUUUCUUAAUACUUCAAACAAAGAAGCUAUUUUGUUUCAUCAUUUUCGUUUUGGUCAUCCGUCCUUUUAAGUCUUGAGUAUUAUGUUUCCAUCCUUGUUUAAAGGUUUGAAUAUCAAAGAUUUCCAUUGUGAUGUU